rnacentral:rRNA from 1 species
ACCCCUGUGUAGAUAUGCCAUGCAUGUCUAAGUAUAAGCAAUUUAUACAGUGAAACUGCGAAUGGCUCAUUAAAUCAGUUAUCGUUUAUUUGAUAGUACCUUUACUACUUGGAUAACCGUGGUAAUUCUAGAGCUAAUACAUGCUAAAAAUCCCGACUGUUUGGAAGGGAUGUAUUUAUUAGAUAAAAAAUCAAUGCUCUUUGAGCUCUUUGAUGAUUCAUAAUAACUUUUCGAAUCGCAUGGCCUUGUGCUGGCGAUGGUUCAUUCAAAUUUCUGCCCUAUCAACUUUCGAUGGUAGGAUAGUGGCCUACCAUGGUUUCAACGGGUAACGGGGAAUAAGGGUUCGAUUCCGGAGAGGGAGCCUGAGAAACGGCUACCACAUCCAAGGAAGGCAGCAGGCGCGCAAAUUACCCAAUCCCGACACGGGGAGGUAGUGACAAUACAUAACGAUACAGGGCCCUUUCGGGUCUUGUAAUUGGAAUGAGUACAAUGUAAAUACCUUAACGAGGAACAAUUGGAGGGCAAGUCUGGUGCCAGCAGCCGCGGUAAUUCCAGCUCCAAUAGCGUAUAUUAAAGUUGUUGCAGUUAAAAAGCUCGUAGUUGAACUUUGGGCUUGGUUGGCCGGUCCGCCUUUUUGGCGAGUACUGGACCCAACCGAGCCUUUCCUUCUGGCUAACCAUUCGCCCUUGUGGUGUUUGGCGAACCAGGACUUUUACUUUGAAAAAAUUAGAGUGUUCAAAGCAGGCCUUUGCUCGAAUAUAUUAGCAUGAAAUAAUAGAAUAGGACGUUAUGGUUCUAUUUUGUUGGUUUCUAGGACCAUCGUAAUGAUUAAUAGGGACGGUCGGGGGCAUCAGUAUUCAGUUGUCAGAGGUGAAAUUCUUAGAUUUACUGAAGACUAACUACUGCGAAAGCAUUUGCCAAAGGACGUUUUCAUUAAUCAAGAACGAAAGUUAGGGGAUCGAAGAUGAUCAGAUACCGUCGUAGUCUUACCAUAAACUAUGCCGACUAGGGAUCGGUGUUGUUCUUUUUUUGACGCACUCGCACUUACGAGAAUCAAAGUCUUUGGUCUGGGGGGAGUAUGUCGCAGCUGAAACUAAUGAAUGACGAGGCACCACCAGAUGGAGCCUGCGCUAGUGAAUUACACGAACUACAGUUCGACCUAUAAGGAUUGGACCAGGAAUGUGGAAGAC